rnacentral:rRNA from 1 species
AUUGAACGCUGGCGGCAGGCCUAACACAUGCAAGUCGAACGAGUGGCGGACGGGUGAGUAAUGUCUGGGAAACUGCCUGAUGGAGGGGGAUAACUACUGGAAACGGUCGCUAAUACCGCAUACCAUCGGAUGUGCCCAGAGUGGAUUAGCUAGUAGGUGGGGUAAAGGCGCACCUAGGCGAGGAUCCCUAGCUGGUCUGAGAGGCGGACCAGCCACACUGGAACUGAGACACGGUCCAGACUCCUACGGGAGGCAGCAGUGGGGAAUAGUGCACAAUGGUCGCAAGCCUGAUGCAUCCAUGCCGCGUGUAUGAAGAAGGCCUUCGGGUUGUAAAGUACUUUCAGCGGGGAGGCGUUACCCGCAGAAGAGGCACCGGCUAACUCCGUGCCAGCCGCCGCGGUAAUUC